ACUAUGAGUUAUUUCGGACAAAAUUAGUGGACAAAACCCUUUGAUAAACCCCAAACCUUUCUCCUUUGGAGCUCUUUUAUUAGUUGCGCCCUCUCUCUUUUUUCCAUUGAAGCGCAUACUCUGAUAUCUCCAUUGUAGAAGCUUCUGAGCUUUCCCUCCUCCAAUGAAGCAGCUUCUGAGCUUCAGAGGAAGGUUCAAUAACUGGGACAGCCUUAUUAGGAAUAGUCGUAAGUGUAUAUAUUGCAACAUACACAAUACCAGUCACCCUCCUUAUAUUAGUGGUACAUACGAUGUACUUCAAGCAAGUUGUUUUCAGCAUUGGUUCAAAAACUGGCAGAAUUUAAGAAAGAACAAGCUUACUGCAAGCACUUUUAGCUCUGCAAUUAGGUUUUGGCCUCGUAGGAGAGUUCAAUUGUGGUUAGAGAAGAUAGGGCGAUCGAACCCUUUUCUGGUAAUCUCGCGACCUGUUAUAACAAUAUUAACGAGGAGGAAGCUCUGGAACGGUACAAGAUAUUAACCGACAAGUCUGUUGUGUUUCCUAAAUUUCAGAUUCUUAAUAAGAAUAACUUGAAUGGUGAUGGUUGGCUUGGUGCCUCUCCUGAUGGGGUUGUUGAAGAAAAUGUUUAUGGUUUGCCAUCGGAGGGAGUGUUGGAAAUUAAGUGCCCUUUUUUUGAUGGUGAUAUUAACAAAGCUUUCCCUUGGAAGUAGAUCCCACUUUAUUGUAUGCCACAGGCACAAGGUCUAAUGGAGAUACUGGAUAGGGAUUAGAUGGAUCUCUAUGUUUGGACCCCAAAUGGAAGCAGUUUGUUUAGGCUGUAUCGAGAUGUUGAAUAUUGGGAUGCUAUAAAGAGAGCUUUAGAUGAUUUCUGGUGGAAUCAUGUCCAGCCAGCAAAGGAGCUGUACAAUAAGUCUAAGUUCACUGAUCCCUUGACUCAAUUAAGGUCUCUAAAACCAGAUCCCCGGCAUGAAUUAUGUAGUUAUAUUGUUUAUGAAAGCAAGCAUCUUGUGGACAAUAAAUCUAUGUUAUUGUGGCGUGAAAUUCAUGGCAAAAUACAAGAUUGUUGAAGUCAGAUAUUGCGUUUUCACUUAUUGAUCAUUGCUAUUGCUUAGAGCCCAAUGAUGGAAAGGGAGGUAAGGUGAGCUACUGAGCUGUUAAUAUACUUUGAUGGAAAGUUUAUUUAUUUAUAUUUUCAAUCUAUCUUUGCCUUUAAAUCUAUCUGCAUUAAAUUUCCAACCUGCCUAUCUAUUAUGCUUUAUGUGUAACAUAGGUGCCUUUUGCUGAACUGGUUAAUGCUUAUUUACAAGGGCUAAUCAUGUUAUCCAAAGUCCAAACAAGCAGCUCCCAGAUUCUUUUUCCCAUCUCUUUAGCUGGUAGCUGUUCACGACAUAGUCUUAAGUCUCCUCUUUGCUUCAUGACUUUCCCUGUUCUUGAGGGCAUUGGGGCUAUCAGUACUGAAACUUAAAAUCUGUUAAUAGCUGUAUGUAAUCACGUGCUGACCAAAGUUAUCUAUUUGAUGGUCUUGUGCAUGACUUUUCUCAAUGUUGGUUUUCCUUAGCCUAAUCUAAAGUCCCUAGUUGUUUUUAAUAUUGGUGAUUUCUUCUUAUUGUUGCUUAAUUACUUUAUACUUUGUUAAAUUUAGAAGUUUAUAUGAAUAAUCUUCAAUCUGACCUGGUGGUACCUUCAAAAUGUCUACUGUACACCCCCGUUCCCAAAUAAGCUACUCAAUUGCUUUUGGCAUGGAUAUUAAUAAUAGAGUGUAGAGGAAAACAACGGUAAGCUAUGUUACUCGAACUCUUUCAUUUACCUCACGUGUCCGUGUCGACACGCCUCGUGUCGGACACCGACACCGACACUUGGACACUUCAUUUUUAACUAAAAACACAAUUUUUUUUCAAGAAAAUGGGCGAGUCCGAUACUUGGACACCCGUGUCUAAUAGGACACUUCAUCCGAGUCCAAGUAACAUAGACGGUAAGAGAGUGUCGGAAUAAAGCAAAAGAAAUUGGUUGAGAGAAAAAGUGUACAAUUUAUUUGGGGUAUCCAAGAAAGGAAAUUGUGCAUCUUAUUUCAGGAUAGGCAGAGGGCCAAUGUAACUUUGCCAUGGAUAAAAUAUGUAUAUAAAGUUGCUUAAUUUAAUUUCCUUUAGUCUUCAAAAAAAAAAAAAAAUCCUUUAAGCCUAUUUUGCAGUAUAUAUCUGUAUGGAUAUAAAGGAACUGAUGAGUUUUCCAUUGUAUACCUAGUUUUGUUGUGAGCUUGUGACUAUUAUUUGCCCUCUCACUUUUAGGUUUUUAUCUUGAUGUUUGAAGUGCUCCAGUACCUGCUUACUCAUGGAACCCUGUACAAUUCGUAUGAUUCUAUUGUUAGGUUUGCAAAGCAUUCAGGCUUUUAUGUCUUAUAAUAUUGUGAGCAGAGUAGACAAAUGCUACGUUUGGGAUCUUAAUAUUGCGAAUGUGAUCUUAACUUCUGCAGCAGGAAGAAAACAAAAUGACCUUUAGGAUGAUAAUUGACGUGUUGCUUUUUAUCCAUUUAGAUUGAUAUAUACCAAGCAUUUCUACUGCAAGUUACUUGUGGAUCUUAUCAGAAAGAGCUCAUGCUAUUGUUGUUUACUCUUAUGAGGAAUCUGAAAUAAAAGUUUAGAAAGAAAGUAGGGUAUAAUGUGCAGUCUCUGAGCUCCAAAAGGCCUUUUCCUAGAUGAGAGUUGAUUGAUGUCAUGCUGUCUAUGCUCUUUUUUUCAGACCCCUUUUGGUCCUGUCUAAAUCAUCCACUGUGUUCAUGAUGGGUUUUUUGUUGUCAUUUAUAUACCAAGCACAUUGUAAAUACAUAUAGAGCUGUUGAUCUUGUUAAUCUAUUAAAUAUUCUGACUUUUCUGA